rnacentral:rRNA from 1 species
GACGAACGCUGGCGGCGUGCUUAACACAUGCAAGUCGAACGAUGAAGCCGGAGCUUGCUCCGGUGGAUUAGUGGCGAACGGGUGAGUAACACGUGAGCAAUCUGCCCUUGACUCUGGGAUAACUGCGGGAAACUGUAGCUAAUACCGGAUACGACACCUUGGGGCAUCCCAGGGUGUGGAAAGAAUUUCGGUCAAGGAUGAGCUCGCGGCCUAUCAGCUAGUUGGUGAGGUAAUGGCUCACCAAGGCGACGACGGGUAGCCGGCCUGAGAGGGUGGGCGGACACACGGGAACUGAGACACGGUCCGGACUCGUACGGGAGGCAGCAGUGGGGAAUAUUGCACAAUGGGCGAAAGCCUGAGGCAGCAACGCCGCGUGAGGGAUGAAGGCCUUCGGGUUGUAAACCUCUUUUAGCAGGGAAGAAGCGAAAGUGACGGUACCUGCAGAAAGAGCACCGGCUAACUACGUGCCAGCCGCCGCCGUAA